rnacentral:rRNA from 1 species
GACGAACGCUGGCGGCGUGCUUAACACAUGCAAGUCGAACGGAAAGGCCCUGCUUGCAGGGUGCUCGAGUGGCGAACGGGUGAGUAACACGUGGGUGAUCUGCCCCUUACUUUGGGAUAAGCCUGGGAAACUGGGUCUAAUACUGGAUAGGACCAUGCUGUAGGGGGUGUGGUGGAAAGAUUAGUUUCGGUAAGGGAUGAGCUCGCGGCCUAUCAGCUUGUUGGUGGGGUAAUGGCCUACCAAGGCGUCGACGGGUAGCCGGCCUGAGAGGGUGGACGGCCACAUUAGGACUGAGAUACGGCCCAGACUCCUACGGGAGGCAGCAGUGGGGAAUAUUGCACAAUGGGCGCAAGCCGGAUGCAGCGACGCCGCGUGGGGGAUGACGGCCUUCGGGUUGUAAACUCCUUUCAGCCAUGACGAAGCCCUUGUGGUGACGGUAGUGGUAGAAGAAGCACCGGCUAACUACGUG